GGGACACGUGGUAUCCUGUCUGAAUAUGGGGGGACCAUCCUCCAAGGCUAAAUACUCCUGACUGACCGAUAGUGAACCAGUACCGUGAGGGAAAGGCGAAAAGAACCCCGGCGAGGGGAGUGAAAAAGAACCUGAAACCGUGUACGUACAAGCAGUGGGAGCACGCUUAGGCGUGUGACUGCGUACCUUUUGUAUAAUGGGUCAGCGACUUAUAUUCUGUAGCAAGGUUAACCGAAUAGGGGAGCCGAAGGGAAACCGAGUCUUAACUGGGCGUUAAGUUGCAGGGUAUAGACCCGAAACCCGGUGAUCUAGCCAUGGGCAGGUUGAAGGUUGGGUAACACUAACUGGAGGACCGAACCGACUAAUGUUGAAAAAUUAGCGGAUGACUUGUGGCUGGGGGUGAAAGGCCAAUCAAACCGGGAGAUAGCUGGUUCUCCCCGAAAGCUAUUUAGGUAGCGCCUCGUGAAUUCAUCUCCGGGGGUAGAGCACUGUUUCGGCAAGGGGGUCAUCCCGACUUACCAACCCGAUGCAAACUGCGAAUACCGGAGAAUGUUAUCACGGGAGACACACGGCGGGUGCUAACGUCCGUCGUGAAGAGGGAAACAACCCAGACCGCCAGCUAAGGUCCCAAAGUCAUGGUUAAGUGGGAAACGAUGUGGGAAGGCCCAGACAGCCAGGAUGUUGGCUUAGAAGCAGCCAUCAUUUAAAGAAAGCGUAAUAGCUCACUGGUCGAGUCGGCCUGCGCGGAAGAUGUAACGGGGCUAAACCAUGCACCGAAGCUGCGGCAGCGACGCUUAUGCGUUGUUGGGUAGGGGAGCGUUCUGUAAGCCUGCGAAGGUGUGCUGUGAGGCAUGCUGGAGGUAUCAGAAGUGCGAAUGCUGACAUAAGUAACGAUAAAGCGGGUGAAAAGCCCGCUCGCCGGAAGACCAAGGGUUCCUGUCCAACGUUAAUCGGGGCAGGGUGAGUCGACCCCUAAGGCGAGGCCGAAAGGCGUAGUCGAUGGGAAACAGGUUAAUAUUCCUGUACUUGGUGUUACUGCGAAGGGGGGACGGAGAAGGCUAUGUUGGCCGGGCGACGGUUGUCCCGGUUUAAGCGUGUAGGCUGGUUUUCCAGGCAAAUCCGGAAAAUCAAGGCUGAGGCGUGAUGACGAGGCACUACGGUGCUGAAGCAACAAAUGCCCUGCUUCCAGGAAAAGCCUCUAAGCAUCAGGUAACAUCAAAUCGUACCCCAAACCGACACAGGUGGUCAGGUAGAGAAUACCAAGGCGCUUGAGAGAACUCGGGUGAAGGAACUAGGCAAAAUGGUGCCGUAACUUCGGGAGAAGGCACGCUGAUAUGUAGGUGAAGUCCCUCGCGGAUGGAGCUGAAAUCAGUCGAAGAUACCAGCUGGCUGCAACUGUUUAUUAAAAACACAGCACUGUGCAAACACGAAAGUGGACGUAUACGGUGUGACGCCUGCCCGGUGCCGGAAGGUUAAUUGAUGGGGUCAGCGCAAGCGAAGCUCUUGAUCGAAGCCCCGGUAAACGGCGGCCGUAACUAUAACGGUCCUAAGGUAGCGAAAUUCCUUGUCGGGUAAGUUCCGACCUGCACGAAUGGCGUAAUGAUGGCCAGGCUGUCUCCACCCGAGACUCAGUGAAAUUGAACUCGCUGUGAAGAUGCAGUGUACCCGCGGCAAGACGGAAAGACCCCGUGAACCUUUACUAUAGCUUGACACUGAACAUUGAGCCUUGAUGUGUAGGAUAGGUGGGAGGCUUGGAAGUGUGGACGCCAGUCUGCAUGGAGCCGACCUUGAAAUACCACCCUU
rnacentral:rRNA from 1 species